AGAGGGGCCACACGCUGUUCACAACAAUUUCUCGAUGCCCACAGUGAGCAGAGGAAACUACCUUGCAGAGCUCUGGAGCAGCAUGUAGAUGCUGGCUAAAAGAAAUUUGUGGCUUUUGGUGCUCCAGAUCCCCCAAAAUAUCGUACCGACGUGUCUCCAGAUUGAGAACAUGGCGAUAUUUCUUUUUCUUGUCGGUGCUAUCCUCUUGAUCCCUGGUCUCACGAGGGCGAGGGCGGAGAGAGAAGUGCUUCAAACUGGAUUGGAGUAACUGCUGCAUUAGGGUACACGCUUGGAACAAAGGCAGGAGCCGUAUGGGUGGGCUAUGGUUUUGCAGCUUGACGUUUGAGUAGUUGUAGGGCCAUUGCGUGUGCAGUUUGAGCCACAUGGGCCAUGGCGAGGGCAGGAAUCAUGCCAUAGCAGGGCUGGACGACUUGUGUGUCAAUCACCGGGUUAGUUUUUGGAGCAGUGGAAUGUCAUGGAGGAUUGCCUUGGCUGCCUUGAUCACGACGAAGACAGUGAGGGUAGUUGUCUUGGGCAUGGAGACCUUGCAUGUUACAAAUGCUGCAGAUGGGCUGGUACUCAACUAGUGCUCAUGCAUUCAGACACUUGGGAGUGAUAUGGCUACCUGGAAUACACAAUACAAAAGAAGUAAAUCCCUCGCACGAUAGAAAACCAACCUUGGUGAUUUUUCAAGAUAAUAGUGUUGCUUCCAGUAGUGCUUCUCCGCUCAAUCACUAUCGUCUUGCCAUAGGGCAGAUGAUUGGAUGUGGGGCUUGACCCCUUCCAGGUACAUUACUUGUUUGUGCUGGAGCUGCUACAUAAAUGGGUACAGAGGUGGUGAUGGAUCUUGAAGGAGCUGGGGCUGGAUGUGGUAGAUGUGACGUGCAGGCAUGCAAAGACCUGGCUGAGCUGAGUGCUAGCAUUUAACUUGAGCUGGUGUAGGACUUGGGCAUCUGUUAAGAUAAUGUCCAUAUCCCUUGCAAUGAAUACACUAGAUAUUCUAACGUUCA